rnacentral:rRNA from 1 species
UACGUAGGGCGCAAGCGUUGUCCGGAAUUAUUGGGCGUAAAGAGCUCGUAGGCGGCUUGUCACGUCGGAUGUGAAAGCCCGGGGCUUAACCCCGGGUCUGCAUUCGAUACGGGCAGGCUAGAGUGUGGUAGGGGAGAUCGGAAUUCCUGGUGUAGCGGUGAAAUGCGCAGAUAUCAGGAGGAACACCGGUGGCGAAGGCGGAUCUCUGGGCCAUUACUGACGCUGAGACGCGAAAGCGUGGGGAGCGAACAGG